rnacentral:rRNA from 1 species
UUCUGGAAGGAUUGACGGAUCGAGAGCUUUUUCUUGAUUCUGUGGAUGGUGGUGCAUGUCCGCGAUUAGUUGGCGGACUGAUCUGUCCGGUUAAUUUCGAUAACGAACGAGACUCUAGCCUAUUAAAUAGGUGCGUAAUUCUCUGCACCUUGCACCCUUAGAGGGACAAGCGGCUCAUAGCCGCACGAAACAGAGCAAUAACAGGUCUGUGAUGCCCUUAGAU